GACGAACGCUGGCGGCGUGCCUAAUACAUGCAAGUAGAACGCACAGUUUAUACCGUAGCUUGCUACACCAUAGACUGUGAGUUGCGAACGGGUGAGUAACGCGUAGGUAACCUGCCUGGUAGCGGGGGAUAACUAUUGGAAACGAUAGCUAAUACCGCAUAAUAUUGAUUAUUGCAUGAUAAUUAAUUGAAAGGUGCAAUUGCACCACUACCAGAUGGACCUGCGUUGUAUUAGCUAGUAGGUGAGGUAACGGCGCACCUAGGCGACGAUACAUAGCCGACCUGGGAGGGUGGUCGGCCACACCGGGACUGAGACAAGGCCCAGACUCCUAAGGGAGGCAGCAGGAGGGAAACUUCGGCAAUGGACGAAAGUCUGACCGAGCACCGCCGCGGGAGGGAAGAAGGUUCUCGGAUCGUAAAGCUCUGUUGUAAGAGAAGAACGGGUGGGAGAGUGGAAACUUCACACUGUGACGGUAUCUUACCAGAAAGGGACGGCUAACUACGUG
rnacentral:rRNA from 1 species